rnacentral:lncRNA from 1 species
CAAAUUUUUUUAUUGAAGUUAUGGCAUAAGUAUGGCACAAAUAAUAUAUGUUAUUUUGUGUCAUAAAAUGUUUAGUAAUAGAAUAACAAAAAGGAAGAAAAGGAUGGUUUUUGUUCAUUCUUGUUCAUGAAAGCUAAAAAUAGAAGAGAAAGGAGAGGAAAAGAGCUCUUGAAUGUUCGGUCACUUGGAGAAGAAAAAUCCAAGGUAAGUUCAUGGUAGUUUGCUUCUAUCUUGAUGUUCAUGAGUUCUUCUUGAUUCUACCCUAACUCAUGAAGCAUAUUUUGAUUUUUGGUUGUGUUGUGAGCAUUCAGUCAUGAAUUAAAAUGAAGGAAAUGGUUGUUGUUUCAUGUCCUUUUGAUGAAAAAUGGAAGAUAGGUGAAGUAGAGCCAAGCAAAUGAGCAUGCAUGUGCCUUAGAUGCUAAGGGAAAAAUCGGCUAACAUGUUGUUCUUUAAAAUGAUGAAAUGAAGAUUAUGCUUAAGUAAAAUUAUAGAUAUGUGAUGAUUGAUUGGUGAUAUGCAUGUUUAAAUAACAUGCAUGCAAGGUAUGUGUGAAAGAGUGAUUUGGUAAUAAAUCUGUUUGGGACAGCAGUAGUAACGUGAUUUUAGAAAAUCACCAUAAAUUGUGGGAGAUGAGUUAGAAGCUGAAUAAAUUACGUAAUUAAAUUUUAAUGAGUCUAGUUUCUUAUAAAAUAAACCGUGUAAGCAAAAGAAUUUCUAAUAAUGAGAUAUUUGAAGUGAUGUGGGACAGGGUCAGAAUGACUUCUAGAUCCUCUGUUCUGUCUUUAUAAAAUAAUUAUAAAUUGUAAAAAAAUUUUCAUAAGAUGAAAUUUAUAUUCUUAGACUCCUUAAUGAGUCUAGUUUCAAAUGAAAUAAACGAGAACAUAUUUUGAAUUCUGUACAAUGAGAAAUUUGAUUCGUAGUGAGGAGUGGUCAGAUUAGUCAAACAGUGAAACAGGGGAAACUUUAAGAAAAAUCUGGUAUUGAUUGGCCAAACCAAAAAUUCUGAAAAUUUUAUGGAUGAAAUAUAUAUGAGUCUAUCUUCAGGGAAAAUUAAUGGAACUUGAUUUGGAGUUUCGUAUCUCUAGUUAUAAAUGAUUUAGUGACUGUUGCUCAGGAAGACAGCUUGCAGUGAAAUUAUGAUUAUGUGGUAAACAUUGACAAAAAUUUGUUAAUGAGUUGCUUAUUGAUUUCUUAUAAGCUUACUAUGAUCAGUAGGUGUGAAAGUCGAAUAUAUAUAUGUAUAUAUUAUAUUUUGAAAGUGAUGCUCGAAUAGUCGAAUAAUGACUAGUUUAAAAUCUUUGAAUUUAAGCUCAAGAGCAUAGAGGGGCAAAAUUUG